UACGUAGGGUGCGAGCGUUGUCCGGAAUUACUGGGCGUAAAGAGCUUGUAGGCGGUUUGUCGCGUUGUCCGUGAAAACUCACAGCUUAACUGUGGGCGUGCGGGCGAUACGGGCAGACUGGAGUACUGCAGGGGAGACUGGAAUUCCUGGUGUAGCGGUGGAAUGCGCAGAUAUCAGGAGGAACACCGAUGGCGAAGGCAGGUCUCUGGGCCACUACUGACGCUGAGAAGCGAAAGCAUGGGGAGCGAACAGG
rnacentral:rRNA from 1 species